rnacentral:rRNA from 1 species
UACCAGCACCCCGAGUGGUCGGGACGUUUAUUGGGCCUAAAGCAUCCGUAGCCGGUUCUACAAGUCUUCCGUUAAAUCCACCUGCUUAACAGAUGGGCUGCGGAAGAUACUAUGGAGCUUGGAGGCGGGAGAGGCAAGCGGUACUCGAUGGGUAGGGGUAAAAUCCGUUGAUCCAUUGAAGACCACCAGUGGCGAAGGCGGCUUGCCAGAACGCGCUCGACGGUGAGGGAUGAAAGCUGGGGGAGCAAACCGG